rnacentral:rRNA from 1 species
GGAGAGUUUGAUCCUGGCUCAGGACGAACGCUGGCGGCGUGCCUAAUACAUGCAAGUCGAGCGAUGAUUAAAGAUAGCUUGCUAUUUUUAUGAAGAGCGGCGAACGGGUGAGUAACGCGUGGGAAAUCUGCCGAGUAGCGGGGGACAACGUUUGGAAACGAACGCUAAUACCGCAUAACAAUGAGAAUCGCAUGAUUCUUAUUUGAAAGAAGCAAUUGCUUCACUACUUGAUGAUCCCGCGUUGUAUUAGCUAGUUGGUAGUGUAAAGGACUACCAAGGCGAUGAUACAUAGCCGACCUGAGAGGGUGAUCGGCCACACUGGGACUGAGACACGGCCCAGACUCCUACGGGAGGCAGCAGUAGGGAAUCUUCGGCAAUGGGGGCAACCCUGACCGAGCAACGCCGCGUGAGUGAAGAAGGUUUUCGGAUCGUAAAACUCUGUUGUUAGAGAAGAACGUUAAGUAGAGUGGAAAAUUACUUAAGUGACGGUAUCUAACCAGAAAGGGACGGCUAACUACGUGCC